ACCCUGCAUAUGGGAUAGCUCAGUCGGUAGAGCACGAGACUCUUAAUCUCAGGGUUAUGGGUUCGAGCCCCACGUUGGGCA
rnacentral:tRNA from 1 species